GUGCUCACUUCAGUAGCAGAUAUCCUAAAAUUGGAAUUAUACAAAGAUCAGCAUAACCUUGAUGCAAGGAUGAUGGGCAAACUCAUGAGGUAUUCCGUAUUUUA
ensembl:snRNA U6 U6 spliceosomal RNA